GGAUCCAGACUUUGAUUAUGGCUCACGAUGAACGCUAGCGACAGGCUUAACACAUGCAAGUCGAGGGGCAGCGGGGGUAGCAAUACCCGCCGGCGACCGGCGCACGGGUGAGUAACGCGUAUGCAACUUACCUAUCAGAGGGGGAUAACCCGGCGAAAGUCGGACUAAUACCGCAUAAAGCAGGGGCCCCGCAUGGGGAUAUUUGCUAAAGAUUCAUCGCUGAUAGAUAGGCAUGCGUUCCAUUAGGCAGUUGGCGGGGUAACGGCCCACCAAACCGACGAUGGAUAGGGGUUCUGAGAGGAAGGUCCCCCACAUUGGUACUGAGACACGGACCAAACUCCUACGGGAGGCAGCAGUGAGGAAUAUUGGUCAAUGGGCGCGAGCCUGAACCAGCCAAGUCGCGUGAGGGAUGAAGGUUCUAUGGAUCGUAAACCUCUUUUAUAAGGGAAUAAAGUGCGGGACGUGUCCCGUUUUGUAUGUACCUUAUGAAUAAGGAUCGGCUAACUCCGUGCCAGCAGCCGCGGUAAUACGGAGGAUCCGAGCGUUAUCCGGAUUUAUUGGGUUUAAAGGGUGCGUAGGCGGCCUUUUAAGUCAGCGGUGAAAGUCUGUGGCUCAACCAUAGAAUUGCCGUUGAAACUGGGAGGCUUGAGUACGUUUGAGGCAGGCGGAAUGCGUGGUGUAGCGGUGAAAUGCAUAGAUAUCACGCAGAACCCCGAUUGCGAAGGCAGCCUGCCAAGCCAUGACUGACGCUGAUGCACGAAAGCGUGGGGAUCAAACAGGAUUAGAUACCCUGGUAGUCCACGCAGUAAACGAUGAUCACUAGCUGUUUGCGAUACAGUGUAAGCGGCACAGCGAAAGCGUUAAGUGAUCCACCUGGGGAGUACGCCGGCAACGGUGCAACUCAAAGGAAUUGACGG
rnacentral:rRNA from 1 species